rnacentral:SRP_RNA from 1 species
GCCGAGUCCAGUAGCGUGGGCUUGUGACCCAAGUGGGGGCAUGAAAUUGAUGGGACAAUGAUUCAGCGCCAGCGGGUUGGGUUCGUUAGGCUAAGUUCUGGCCUGCCCGUUCCAAGCUGAGAGUUGGCUCCUGUGGCUCAAGCGAAGGCUUUGAACUACAUGAACCGUAGAGUGGAGGGCACCGCGUCAGGCUGGUUUCACAGAGCAGCGACCACCUCCCGCUCCUGGCAGUGGAAGGAUAACAGGCCGGUGCCACUCGGAUCCGUAUGGCCCAAUGGGCUGAUGAAAUUGGACCAUCAUUUUU